rnacentral:rRNA from 1 species
GAUGAACGCUGGCGGCGUGCCUAAUACAUGCAAGUCGAGCGAACGGACGAGAAGCUUGCUUCUCUGAUGUUAGCGGCGGACGGGUGAGUAACACGUGGAUAACCUACCUAUAAGACUGGGAUAACUUCGGGAAACCGGAGCUAAUACCGGAUGAUAUUUUGAACCGCAUGGUUCAAAAGUGAAAGACGGUCUUGCUGUCACUUAUAGAUGGAUCCGCGCUGCAUUAGCUAGUUGGUAAGGUAACGGCUUACCAAGGCAACGAUGCAUAGCCGACCUGAGAGGGUGAUCGGCCACACUGGAACUGAGACACGGUCCAGACUCCUACGGGAGGCAGCAGUAGGGAAUCUUCCGCAAUGGGCGAAAGCCUGACGGAGCAACGCCGCGUGAGUGAUGAAGGUCUUCGGAUCGUAAAACUCUGUUAUUAGGGAAGAACAUAUGUGUAAGUAACUGUGCACAUCUUGACGGUACCUAAUCAGAAAGCCACGGCUAACUACGUGCCAGCAGCCGCGGUAAUACGUAGGUGGCAAGCGUUAUCCGGAAUUAUUGGGCGUAAAGCGCGCGUAGGCGGUUUUUUAAGUCUGAUGUGAAAGCCCACGGCUCAACCGUGGAGGGUCAUUGGAAACUGGAAAACUUGAGUGCAGAAGAGGAAAGUGGAAUUCCAUGUGUAGCGGUGAAAUGCGCAGAGAUAUGGAGGAACACCAGUGGCGAAGGCGACUUUCUGGUCUGUAACUGACGCUGAUGUGCGAAAGCGUGGGGAUCAAACAGGAUUAGAUACCCUGGUAGUCCACGCCGUAAACGAUGAGUGCUAAGUGUUAGGGGGUUUCCGCCCCUUAGUGCUGCAGCUAACGCAUUAAGCACUCCGCCUGGGGAGUACGACCGCAAGGUUGAAACUCAAAGGAAUUGACGGGGACCCGCACAAGCGGUGGAGCAUGUGGUUUAAUUCGAAGCAACGCGAAGAACCUUACCAAAUCUUGACAUCCUUUGACAACUCUAGAGAUAGAGCCUUCCCCUUCGGGGGACAAAGUGACAGGUGGUGCAUGGUUGUCGUCAGCUCGUGUCGUGAGAUGUUGGGUUAAGUCCCGCAACGAGCGCAACCCUUAAGCUUAGUUGCCAUCAUUAAGUUGGGCACUCUAAGUUGACUGCCGGUGACAAACCGGAGGAAGGUGGGGAUGACGUCAAAUCAUCAUGCCCCUUAUGAUUUGGGCUACACACGUGCUACAAUGGACAAUACAAAGGGCAGCGAAACCGCGAGGUCAAGCAAAUCCCAUAAAGUUGUUCUCAGUUCGGAUUGUAGUCUGCAACCCGACUACAUGAAGCUGGAAUCGCUAGUAAUCGUAGAUCAGCAUGCUACGGUGAAUACGUUCCCGGGUCU